GGUGCCAGCGCCAACACGUGCUCGAGUAGUCAAAGUCUACUAGGAUCGAAACGUGUCGUGUCUUUGAAGUGAGGGGAAAUUUCCACCAAACUCUGAUCAACUGAUGAUGGUUUAGAGUUUUCCGGCGGGUUUUGCUGAAAGAAUUCGAUAUUUCAACAAAAAAAAAAACGAUCAAAUCGAAGCAGGCAUUGCCUAAGCAACGUAAUUCACUAGAAAUGUCAGCAGAAAAACAAAUCAAAACUGUCCAUUCGCGCUAGGCAAUGGCGCGCGAUGGAGCCAGCAAACAGGAUUUAGAAUUGAUAUCCGCGUCGUCCUAAGUCGCUUCGUUGAAUCAGAAUAUCUGCGUGAUUUGAAUUGAACGUGCCGAGUGAAGUGAACCGUCAAUAUCGCGGGUAAUGGGUUAAGUGAAAUUGAAGUAAAAUCCAAUAAAUAGAAUGCAUUUCUGUGAGUAAAGCAAAGUAAAGCGAAAAAAAAGUGACCAUAGAAAACGGAAGAGGAAAUAAAAUUUGCACUCCUUCUCGGGUGGCUCCGUAAUCGUAAUGGGUGAGACGAGGUGCUGAAAAAGAAAAAAAAUACCGCAUUUCAUUUUCACAUUCCAAUUGAAUUGCACUGAUGAUUACUGGUGGCAAAAGCAGGCAGACAUACAAAAGUAAAACAUAGCGCUGUGGUUUGGACCUGAUUUUGUUGAAAUGAGUGGGGAAUGGUGUUGAGUGAGCAAAAAUAAAAACGUCCAGUGAAGUACUGGUAGAAAAAUACUUGGUCCUCCUCUGCUGCUGCUCUCAUCUUGCCGAAGUAAAUGGGCAAUGCAUUGUGACAGGGUUUUCCAGGCCCCGUAGAACUAGCGAUUGUGACGGAGUGUGCUGGCGGUUGCCGUGUGCCAUUUUGGAUUAAAAUUGGAUUACUUUGGAUUGAGAGUAAUUGAAUUUGUUUUGAUUAGAAGCCAUUGUUGGUGUCUCUACUUCUGUUGUUGUUGCCGCUGAAGAGUGAUUAAAAUGGAUUUCUAAGUGCAUGGCUGCGUCUUCGCCGCAGAUGUCAUCCGGUUGACAUCAAUCAAGUGAAUUCCACGCUUAUCCUCGGAUUGCAAAGCUUUUGCCCAAGGAUUCCGGCCACCGGUUGAUUCGUUGAACAACGAACCCCAGAUCCGUUUUGCAACGUACGGAAGCUGUGUUCCACAAAAAAAGGGAAACAAACAGGAAGCAAACAAACAAUUCAACCUGUGACCCACUCGUCGACAAACGCUCUUGGUUACCCCUCCUCAUCUAUACCUCCCGGCCACACAAACACACACUAGUGAAUGGUGAAAAUCUCAUUUCCCUUCUGCAUUUGUCGUUCCAAGUGAGCUACACAAAAAAUUGUCACCAGAAACGGAGCAUAAAUUUUUGGCUGAAGUGGUCCACAUAGCGAAUACGACUUCCCAUCCCAAAAAAAAACCGGAAAUACUUCAUGUUCCUGACCUGACCCAUUGCAUUAUUCUUCUUUCUGGAUCACAAAGACACACGACAAACCGUUUCUACAUCCUGGUACUGACAAAACUGACGAUAAUUGCAGCUUGGAGCUUCGGUUCAAAUUUACGGGGCGGACAUACCAGCAGAGCUACAGAUUAGUGCGAGUUUCAGAUUCCUAAAUUGAAACAAAAACCAUAGCGGCGGUGUUGAGAGCUAAGAUCAAUCCGCAGCUGCCGCAACCGAAGCGGAAAUAGUUGUACGUGAGGUUAGCUGAGAGCGAGGAUUUACAACUGAAUUGGUCAUACCGCAGGUCAUAGUGGCGGACUACGAGGAUUCCAGCUCCUUUCCGCCAGAUCUUUUCGAAGCGUUCGAAAACAGCACCGAGGUAGAAUGUCUGCUGAAGGCCCACCUGGAUGU